rnacentral:tRNA from 3 species
UCCCCAGUAGCUCAUCGAUGGUAGAGCGCCCGGCUGUUAACCGGAGGGUGGCGGGUUCGAGCCCUGCCUGGGGAGCCA